ACACUUGGCUCUGUUUCCAGAGCCAAAUCAUCAAGUGCUGCUUCCUUUUUUGCUUAGCAGUUCAUCCUUUGAUUUAUCUCUUUCCCUCUUAAUAUUUUUAUUCUGAGUACCCAGAGCAACUAGACAAUACCUUCCACACUUAGCUUGGAAUCACUUUAGCUAAACAUCCAGAUUCAUCACUUAUAAGUUCUACUUUCCACAAAACGUAUAAUAUAAUUCAGUCAAGUUCUCUGCCAUUUUAUUACAAGGAUUUCUUUUUAUCUAGUGUAACUUGUUCCUCAUUUUCUUUUGAGGCUUCAUAGGGUGCAUGUUGCUAGCAACAUUCUGUUUAUGAUGAUAUACGAGCAAAAUCUUUAAAGAGGAGAGAAAGUUUUGCUCCAACUUUUUCACACUUUUUUCUGAGCCCUCACAAGAGUCAACUUUAAGACCCAUACGUCUACCACCGAUGUCAUCAAAUGAAUCUAAGCUUGUCUGGAAAAUUCUUCCAACCUCAACCCAUUAGCCACUUCCAAAGAUAUCUUCUAAACUGUAAGUAUGUCUUACACCCCAUGCCCUAUUACCAAAAUCUACCUUCAUUUGCUAGGGAUUCUGUAACAAAGUACCAAAAACAACAGAAAUUCAUUCUGUCACAAUUAUGAGGCUAGAAGUCCAAAAUGAAAGUUUAGACAGACCCAACCUCACUUUGAAACUCUGAAUAAAAUCCUUCCGCACUCCUUCCUAACUUCUAGUGGAAACAGCAGUCUUUGGCAUUCUCCCAGUGUCUGCCUCUGUUAUCACGUGGCAUUUUCCUCCCAUGUUUUCACAUGGUAUUGUCUUGUUUGUGUGUCUGUGUCCAAAUUUCCUUCUGUUAUUAAGAACACCAGUCAUGCUGGAUUAAGCCUGCCCUAAUGACCUCAUCGUAGCUGAUUACCUGAUUGAAGACCCUUUUUCCAGAUAAGGUCACACUCUGGUCAUUGGAGGUUAAGAUUUCAACAUACCUUCUUGGGGACACAAUUCUCCCAGGAACAUGGAAUGAACGUUGGCAGGAUAUAUAUUCCUGUGUACACACCAACUGGGUCAAGAUACAGAGCAUUUUCAACACUCAACAGGCUCCCUCAUUCACCGUCUCUGCUGGUGCACGCCGUCUCUGCCUGGGUCACAGAGAUUAGAUGUUAUCAUGCAACCAGGAGGGAAAAGAAGACACCAGUCAGCUGCAAGCCCAGCUGUAGAUGACUGCAGCAGGCUGUCCUUGGCAAUCGCUGUGCAUGGUUAUGUCGAUACUCAAUCAAUACUCCCCAAAGGCAGCCUUUGUUCUAGGCUUAAUUCUUUAUGCACAGUUGUUUACUUUAUUUGCUACCAUGGAGGAUAGCUAACAAGAGCUAAAAAGAAUUAGGUCAUUUUUUUCUAUAAUUGUCUAAUCCAGGAACUUAAAGUCCUCUCCUCACAGUUGAAGGAGGGUUUAUAACAAGGCAUUUUUGGAGAAAAUGCCUGCAGACACACCCUGAAGCAAAAGAAGAUAAAGCCAGAAACAAUUAUAACACUCAUAUAGUCGAAGAUAACCAUCAUUUUAAGGCUAGAGCCACUAAAACAUUAUACUUUUUGAGUUCCAACUCAAAAAUUGAUUACAGGCACUGUGAUGGUUUUUCAGGUUCAUCUGAUUUCAUUUUAUUCCACGAACCCACUUGAAAAUAUAUGUUAUUUCUAUCUAGAAAGAAUACUUAGGACAUACAGUAUUGGCCCAAUAAUUAAGCAGUCCCCAAGUAACAAAUGACUCUUGGAGCUCUUUUGCACUCUCAGAUUAGUGUUUGAUUUGGCAAAUAUUUCAAGAGUGGUUAUUACAGACAUAGGUCCUCAAUAUCUGUAUUACAAUGUUACUAUAAAGAAUCAUGCAAAAUGCCACAUUGUCUUCAUAUUCCUUGAAGAAACCAGAAUAGUGAUAAAAUUUUUAAAUAAUGCAGUCAAUGUAAUGAUGGAGGGUAGUUCUAUGAAGGCACCAAAGAUAAAUGUUGGCCCACCUAGGCAUGGGAGGAUGAUCCAAGAAAGCCUAAGUUUUAAAGAAAGAAUAAAAAGACUUAGGCAGAUAAAGAACAGGGACAGGCAGACAUGCAACACAGGGAAAAUCAGCAAAGGGAGUUACUGGGGCCCAAAGUGUGAGUCAGGUUAUAGUUCGAAAUAUGAGUCCACGGUGGAGGUCAGGUCAUAGAAGAAGGGAAUUUUCCUGAGGUAGUAAAUUCAUUGCUCAUGGACUUUUCAGCCUGCAGAUGUUGCUUUUAUGGCCACCACUAUGUCUGAAUAAAAUCUAAGUGCCUUUAAGCGGCGCAUGAGCCCACCAGCUCACCCCAGGACCCACUGCUCCCUAAUUGUUUAGUACUUUCCAGCUAAAGAUAGAGUCACCAGCAGUUAGUGAGUCUUUAGAUGUAAGGAGGUGACAGGUGGUUGUCCUUCCUGUUCAUCACAGUUAUGCAUAUUUUACAGUCACUGCAUUGUUCUAAUUUAAAGACACAAUCAGCCUGCUGCACACGUCUGGACCAUAAAGAGAUGGGAAAAUGGCAUGAAACCAGCUAAUGAGCGCCUUGGAGGCAGCAGAUGAUGGCUCAAGUACUUUGGUCCUUGCUAACCCAUGGAGAGCUGGAUGGAGUUCAACAUUCUUUGCCUUGAUCUAUAUACCAGCCCUGGCUGUUGCAGGAAUUUGGGGGAAUGAACCAGCAAAUGGGAGAUCUCUCUCCCCAUCUUUCCCUUUCAAAUUGUUACCUGUUUUCCAAAACUGCGGGUGAAGAGGCCUUCCUCUUUAGCAGGUAAGAAGCAGAAGGAACCUCACAUCACAAACGCAGCAUGUGAUGUAAUAAAUGUGGAGCCAUCUGACAUAUGGUACCUGUCCUUUAUAUUUAGGGGGGUGGAGAUGUUAAAGCAUGACUAAUCCUGUUCCCCCAAGCUGUGCACCUGUCCUACCUUCUGAUUAUGGUUCCAGGAAAGUAACCCUUACUUCUUAUCAAGUGAGCAAGCUUAGAGAGCAAACAAAGCCUGGAAUCUGGGAAGAUUAAUCUCUGCUUUUAAUAACCUAUUCAAAAACACCACACAUACAUUAUUUUAUUUUGUCUUUUAGUACAACGUGUAAUGUUUGGUUGGAGGCCAGUCAUGAUGUCCUGGGUGAAAGGAACUGUGGUAAAUUGGCUUUCUGGUAUGCAGUGCUACAGUUUAUCUGGCUGGGUGUUAGGUUGUAUUUUCUGUUUGCUAUAGCUAUGGUGUCUGAAGUUAAACUUUCUUCUGCUGCUUUUGUUUCUACAUCCCUGUUGUUUUGGGGCCUCCCUAGAGACUACUCAAAUAUACUUUUUUAAAGGUUUUUUUUUUAAGAUUUCUGUUUUAUUUAUUUGAAGGUCAGAGCUGGAGGGGAAGAGAGAGAGAGAGAGAGAGAUAGAGAGAGUGAGAAUGAGCUUCCAUCUGCUGGUUCACUGCCCAGACAGCCACAAUGGCUGGGGCUAGGCCAGGCAGAAGUCAGGAGCCAGAAACUUCAUCCAAGUCUCUCACGCAGGUAGCAGGGGCUCAAGCACUUGGGCCAUCCUCCAUCGCCUGUCCCAGGCUAUUAGCAGGGAGCUCGGGUAAGAAAUGGAGCAGCUGGGACUCAAACCAGUGCCCAUAUGGGAUGCUGGCGUCACAGGCAGCAACUUUACCCACAACACCACAAUGCUGCCUCCCUGAUUAAAUAUUCUGUAAAGACGUAUUAAAUAGUUCAUUUGUAUUCCUCAGUCAUUGUACGGGAGCCCUGUGGAUGUGGUGGCAAGCUGUGGAGAAGGAGAAGCCUUCUAUUUUCCUAUGAUAGGUUCCAGCCUUUUGUGAGCUACUGCAGGACUGUGACACUCACAAGUGCCUCUCAACCCCUCCCUCCUGAGAUGAGCCAGGAAGGCCACAGCAGGCUGGAGUUAGAUGUUUUCCUUCCCCUAGAGCAAUAAGACUCUAGUUUCGUUAUGUAUUUGUAAGUGUCAUUUAUUUAUUUGAAAGGCAGAGCAACAGAAGCAGGAGAUACAGAUUUGCCAAUCUUCUGAUUCACUCCCCAAAUGCCUGCAAUAGCCAGGUAUGGGCCUGGCUGAAGCCAGGGGUCUCCCACAUGGCUGGCCAAGACUCAAGUACUUGAACAAUCAUCUGCAGGCUGCCAGGCGCCUUAGCAAGAAGCUGGAUGGGAAUGUGGAGGUGGGACUCCAUCCCAGGCACUCCGAGAUGGGGUACAGGCUUCUCAAGUGGUGGCUUGACCUCCUGCACCUCAACCCUGGUCCCAACAAGGCUCUAGUUUCUAUUGAGGGCAGGCACUGUUAACAAGAGCAGAAGGCUCUGAGCAUAUUUACAAAUGGCCACUGCUUGCCACCCAGUGGAAACUUUUUUCUGAUGCUGCAGGUCAGAAUCUAUCAGGGUACAUGGAGGUAAAACUGCAAUACAGUUCUGACCUCUCCGAUUUGUCUGCUCUGAGCCUGCAGCAGCUUGUUGGUGACAGGUCAGGUUUUCCUAAGCCCAUGCUGCUCCCCUGGCUGGUUUCUCCUCCAGGGCUCUGCCCAGCGUGCUGAGAUUCUCUCUGCCCUCCUGGCUCUUCAGUCUGAAGGGCAACUCUUUGCUGCUUGCCCUCAGCUGUCUGACUGAUAGAGGAGCUCUUGGUUUUCAGUGUGUUUGGGCUUUUUUCUUGUUGGUGGACAGGAGAGGACAACUCCAAACUCCUUGUAAGCCUGACCAGAAACUGGAGGUCUCCUCAUUGUUUGAUUUGAUUCUUCCAAACUGAAGUCACACACAUAGUAGGUAGAAAAGCCAGGAUGAGAGAUCUCAGGAGAUGUGACUCCAGUGUGGUGAUUUUUUUCCUCACUUACUGAGGUUCACCAAGUGAGGGGUGCAAGUGUAGAAGACCUCGGAGGGAUGGGUGUUAUGGCACGGGGGCUAAGCUGCUGCGUGGGAUGCACUUUGUAUAUCAAAGUGCCUGGUUCAAGUCCUGGCUACUCUGCUUCCAAUCCAACUUCCUGCUAAAGUGCACCCUGGGAAUAGCAGAUGAUGGCUACAGUGCUUGGGUCCCUGCCACC